UACGAAGGGGGCAAGCGUUGUUCGGAAUUACUGGGCGUAAAGGGCGCGUAGGCGGCUUGCCAAGUCAGGCGUGAAAUUCCCGGGCUCAACCUGGGGGCUGCGCUUGAUACUGGCUGGCUUGAAUGCGGGAGAGGAUAGUGGAAUUCCCAGUGUAGAGGUGAAAUUCGUAGAUAUUGGGAAGAACACCGGUGGCGAAGGCGGCCUGCUGGGCAGUGGCUGACACUGAGGCGCGACAGCGUGGGGAGCAAACAGG
rnacentral:rRNA from 1 species